UCCAGACUCCUACGGGAGGCAGCAGUGGGGAAUAUUGGGCAAUGGGCGCAAGCCUGACCCAGCAAUGCCGCGUGAAGGAAGAAGGCUUUCGGGUUGUAAACUUCUUUGACAGGGGGAGAGCAGAAGACGGUACCCUGAAAACAAGCCACGGCUAACUACGUGCCAGCAGCCGCGGUAAUACGUAGGUGGCAAGCGUUAUCCGGAUUUACUGGGUGUAAAGGGGGCGCAGACGGCGAUGCAAGCCAGGAGUGAAAGCCCGGGGCCCAACCCCGGGACUGCUCUUGGAACUGCGUGGCUGGAGUGCAGGAGGGGCAGGCGGAAUUCCUGGUGUAGCGGUGAAAUGCGUAGAUAUCAGGAGGAACACCGGUGGCGAAGGCGGCCUGCUGGACUGCAACUGACGUUGAGGCCCGAAAGCGUGGGGAGCAAACAGGAUUAGAUACCCCGGUA
rnacentral:rRNA from 1 species